rnacentral:rRNA from 1 species
AUUGAACGCUGGCGGCAGGCCUAACACAUGCAAGUCGAACGAGUGGCGGACGGGUGAGUAAUGUCUGGGAACCUGCCUGAUGGAGGGGGUUAACUACUGGAAACGGUAGCUAAUACCGCAUACCAUCAGAUGUGCCCAGAUGGGCUUAGCUAGUUGGUGGGGUAACGGCUCACCAAGGCGACGAUCCCUAGCGGGUCUGAGAGGAUGACAAGCCACACUGGAACGGGGACACGGUCAAGACGCCUACGGGAGGCAGCAGUGGGGAAUAUGGCACAAUGGGCGCAAGCCUGAUGCAGCCAUGCCGCGUGUAUGAAGAAGGCCUUGGGGUUGUAAAGUACUUUCAGCGGGGAGGCGUUACCUGCAGAAGAAGCACCGGCUAACUCCGUGCCAGCAGCCGCGGUAAUUC